rnacentral:rRNA from 1 species
GUGGAGCAUGUGGCUUAAUUUGACUCAACGCGGGGAAUCUUACUAGGUCAGGACCAUCGAUGCGUGUGUUCGCGUCGUAUGUAUGAUUGUCGCAGUGUCGCUGCUACAAAAUUAUUUGAUGAGUGGUGCAUGGCCGUUCUUAGUUCGUGAUGCAAUUUGUCUACUUAAUUGUUGGUUGCGUAUGUUUCAUCGCAUCGUAACCGUAACGAACGAGACCGUGUUGUGUACGUAGCUACUCGCUGCGACAUUCGUACAUCGACAGAACAACCGCAAACUUGUUAGGAAGGACACGGCAAUAACAGGUCUGUGAUGCCCUCAGAUGUUCUAGGCCGCACACGUGCUACAAUCUGAUUGAUUCCGUAUACGUAUCACGUGUGUGUAAGAUUCACCGCUGCGAGUCGAACCAACGUCACCGAUGGUUGGGAUCGUCGUUUGUAACUAUUCGACGUCACAACUAGGAAUGCCUCGUACGGUGCAGUUCAACAGAUUCCCUGGAAUCCGUCCCUGCCCUUUGUACACACCGCCCGUCGCUCUUACCGAUGGUGGUGGGUUCGAGUUGUGACGAAUGAUGUCUCGUACAUUGUGAAUCGCUACGAGAACCCACUGCUAAAGGAAAGAGAAGUCGUAACAAGGCAUCG